GUCUGGCUGGCUUAGUCAGAAGAGCACGCGACCCUUGAUCUUGAGGUCAUGGGUUCAAGCCCCAUGCUGGAUG
rnacentral:tRNA from 1 species